GUGCUUUCUUCAGCAGCACAUACACUAAAAUUGGAGUGAUACAGAGAAGAUUAGCAUGGCCCCUGUACAAGGAUGACACAGAAAUUCAUGAAGCAUUCCAUAAAAAU